rnacentral:tRNA from 1 species
AGGAUAAUAGUUAAUAAAUAACUCUUGAUCUGCAAUCAAAAAUUAUUAAAUAAUCAAAUUUAAUUUAUCUUA